UUUCAGAUUUCCAAGUCUCUUCUGGUGUGCUGAGGUAUAUUUCAAUGUCUUCUCUCCGCUGAGGAUGACAGGGAGGACUCACGUAGCCACAUUGGCAAUGUUCUUUCAGAAGCACUAUUUGGGAACCUUGGAGCCUCUGGAAGAUGAACACCAUACCAUCCACAAUGUCAGGAUGAAAGUAGCUUCACUUCCCUGGGGUUCACGCCGUGGACAGUGCAACCUUCAGAUGCAAGGCUGAGCAUGAUUCAUUUAAAUCCCACCUGGAACUAUUCAAACAGCAAAGGACAACCCAGACCCCUGAGAGGAGAAGGUGAUCAAGCAGCACCGGUGACAGCAUUCAGCUGAUAAAUCUCUUGACCCUGGAAAAAAUUCAUGGAACUUGGUAAAUUUGUUUCAACUUUUCUCUCUUCAUGUUGGGAACCCAUGACAUAGGAUGUGUCAGUCAAAGCAUUUCUUCCCCUGGCUACAUUGAUUAGUUCAUAAGCACACCAGGCUCUAAGAAGGAAUGAAUCUCAGGACUCUUGCUUGGAGUGCUGGGAUAAAGGCCCUCCCUCUUUUUCAAGAUGAAAUAUGCAAAGUGAAGUAUGCAGAUAGCAGGACCAGAACUUCUGCAGCCAUUUUGGCACCAAGAGGGUGGCUUUGUCCCAGGACAAAGCUGACACAUGAAAGAGUCCAAAGGCCAGAGGCAUGCUGAGAAAUUUGUAGAGAUAUUCAUGUUGAACAUUGAACCUCUGGGUACAGCUGUAGCUAAAGCUGAAACUAUUGCUGGCCUUUUCACUUUGGUGGAACCAUACAUUUUAAAAAUGGUUAUGACAGUUAGGGUUGGGUUUUAUGUUAACUUAAAAUUGAAAAUAUUGUGACUCUAUGAGCUAGCUUUUAUUGCAUAAUAAAGCAAUCCCAAACUCAAUGGCUUAUUAAAAAAUAAAUAAAAUACUUCAUUCACAUAGUGUGACUGCCUUUGGGUUGGUUGGGGUCAGCUGAUCUAGGCUCAGCUUUGCGAGUUGCUCUGCUGAUCUUGUCCAGGCUUGUUUAUGAGCCCACUGGGGGUCAGCUGGUUUGUUCAGCUGGCUGAGGAUAAACUGGGGCUGUGCUUGAGUCUGAGCUGGGUCAAGGGAGCUUAUCUGGGGCAGAUGAGUCGUACAUGUCUCUCAUUCCCUGAGGACCAGCAGGUGAACAUAGGUAUGACUGUUUUCAUGACAGGGUAGAGGCACAAGAGGGUUAGCAUGGACAUGCAUGGCCUCUGGGGGCCUGUGCUUGUUCCUGGCACAACAUCAUUUCUCCUUCAUUCUAUUGACCGAAGCAAAGCACAUGGCCAAACCCAACAUCAGGAGGUCAGGAAAUAUACGUAACCUCUUUGGGGAGGAAGUGAAAAGUCACACGGUAAAGAGCAGGAAAAGAGGGAGGGAUGAAAACAUGGGACGGAUAAUAUAAUCUGCCACACUAACUGAUAAUGUAAUCAAAUUCAAGCGCAAACACUUGUUAUCUACAUAGCUCAAUAUCGUUAGAACACUGGGUUGUGAAACUAUAUAGAAAGUUGUUAUGCCAGAUGUGGCAGCCAUUUGAAACCUAGCUUUGGUGAGCUAAUCUAUAUUCACGUUUAUGUUUUUUUUUUAAGUGAAGAAGCAAAAUUUAACUUUGAAUUAUGCUUUGGUUUCUGUAAAGCUGAUCUCUGUUUAGACAUGAAUUAAUCAGACUCUACAUUUAAAAUAUUUCUCCUCCUUGCAUAUACUAUUGAGUUGAUAAUUCUAAAAAAACCAACCAUUUCUUUGUAAAAAUUACGCUUGUGUGUAUGUAUGGAGCUAACAGUUCCCCUUUAUGUAUGAACAUAUUUUACUUAUUUCACUGGGAAAAGGUACAGGUAUUGAAAGCCUGAAACUUUUCACUUUCCUCAUUUGAUUUAGGCUUGGAUAUUCUCUUGAGAUUAUGAGUAAUAACGAUAAUGGCUAAUGCAUAUGUAGCGCUUAGUAUGGGCCAGGCACUGUUCUAAAGUACUCUACAUAAACGACUUCAUUUAGUCUCACGACAACCUUACUACACAUUAUUAUCAUCCUCAUUAUACAGACAGGGAAACUGAGGUACAGAGUCAGAUACCUGGUAAAUUUCAGUUCUGGGAUUCAGACACAGGCUGGUUUCAGAUUUCAUGAUCUUAUAUGCUAAUAUAUGUCAAAACUGCCAUUUUACUAUACCACCCUAUGAUAUUUUUUAUUAAUAUUAUUAUCUUCCUGGGCUGUGAAUUCCUAGAGGCUAUUUAGAUAUGGUUUUAUUAAUUUUUGUUUCCCCAGUGCGUAGCACAGUGUUGCGUACAAGGUACAUAGUCAGUGAAGGUUAUUGAUACACAUUGGGUCCAGAAAUACAUUUUGCACUAUGAAAAUAAGUAAUUUUUCUAAUCUCCAGUUCAUUUUUGUUCUUGUUUGCCAUGCUACCCUGAUAUGUGCUUAAUCUUGACUCAUACAUUCUGUGCUAUUUUUGAGGGUAAAUGCGUUCUUUUCCUUCCUUAAAAUCACAGUCCUAAAUACCUCAGUGGUGUUAGUCUGCUAUUGACACUGACAGUCAACAAAGCUUCAGGAUGCAGAUUAGAAUGAGAAGUUGCUUAAGUGUGGAGUUUCUUUUCUGUUUUAUGUAAGGAAAUAUAGACAUCUGUCUAGAAAUGAGAAUUAUUUCAUCUAAUUAAUGAAUCAUUUCUUGAAAAGAAAUUAAGCAUCAAAUCUCUAACUGUGAUUAACUCUUCUAAAACAUGUGGUAUCAACAGCAGGAUGUUCCUUCCUCCAAGAAGACAUUCUGGUUUCUAGCAAUUAAGUAUGAUCUCUCCUUUGAACCUCUGUAAUGUUUUAUUCCUUGACUUUAAUUUUGAUUAUUUGUGCUUUUACAGCAUCUCCAUUAUUGUUUUGGACAAGAACCUAAGUUGUAGCCCAUACACAUUCCGUACCAUGCUAUACUAGCAGUCUCAAACAUUCACAGAGCUGGGAGGGAACCUAGAAAUGGCUCAUAGUAAACAGGUCAUAUGUUUUCGUCUCCUUUAAGUUCAGUAAUUAACACAAAUAUAACACAAUAGAGUUGGCUUCAUUUCGUUGAUACUAUAUUUGCAUGAAUGUUGAUGGAUUAGACCUUGAACCACACAACACUAUUAGAUUAUAAGUUUCUUGAAGGUAAAGUUUAUUUCUUACUUAUUGACAUACCGCCAGAGCCUAAUAUGGUGGCUGGUGCCUAAUAGUUAGCAGUAAAGAGAUGGGUGAUGGAUGGAUGGACGGAUGGAUGGGUGGAAAAUUAUCAAGGAAGUAAGAGUAUAAUUUUUAUAAGGUAUAUAUUAGUACCCUCUGAUCUCAAGGAGAUAUUUUUUACUCUAUAUGCUUAUGGCAGCUGAAACUCUACUGUUCUCACCCAAAUUAGUAACAACAGUCAUAACACUGAUUAUUGAAAAUACAAAGCAAAGCAAAAAAAAAUUGUUUUCAACCAUCCGAACCAUAAAUUAUACUUCCAAUUGAAUGCAAGAGAAGGCAGGUUCCUUAUUUAAUCUGACUUUGCUGCCUUUGGUCACAAUAUUUUUGCAAUUUUCUUGAAGGAGAUAUCACUCUUUUAGCCGUAUAUUCCAGUGUGCAUGUUAAAAGUCAUUCCCAUUAUAGUUACAUGCUCACAUUUCAUUAACGUAAAAAUAUGACAUCUAGAUAAACAACAGGUGACAGAGGUAAAAAGAAAAAAAAAUUACAUUUAUUGAACUAAUGAGAUAAUAUGGUGAUCAGCUGGGCAAUUUGAUGGCAAAACAAGUGUUUCAAAAUAUUCUUAGAGUCCUUUGCCACUGAAUAAUGAUGAAAUAUGUCAAUUAUAAGACCAGGCCUCCUCUGCAUUUAGCUGUCAAAGACUGCAUUUUAAAGGGACUGAUUUCUAGCUGUUGCUUCCCUUGAUUUAUGUUCCACAACAUUUAAGUAGGUGGUUAGAUGAAAGAGUUGGAAGUGUGCCUCGAGCACCUGACUAUCAUUUUACAGCCUCUUGCAUGAACUGUUUUUAAAAACAAGUAUCAUUAUCCUGUGUACCUUCCUGACAAGGACAUUUUGACAUUUUCCUGAUAAAUUAUUGAUAAGUUCAUUGAGAGAAGGAAAGAGCUAUGCAACUGCUGUUACCUAACUUUAAGCAUCCUGUAGAUCAUUUUUUAUGCCAACUAUUAUUGUAUUUCUUUAGAUCACUUAAACUGUGAAAAUUCUGUCUUUAUUAUAAUUUAUAUCUAAGGGGAUCUUUGAUCUUUGUAGGCUUCUGUGGAAAGUAUUGAUUACCAAGGAGGAAUCCAGGGUUUUUAAAUCUAUGUGAAAUUUUUAUUUUUCCUUUCAUGACUAUUUUAGAGAACCCCUGCUCCUCAUCCUAGGAUAACGAUAUCAGAGACCUAAAAAUGUAAUUUUCCUUUUUGAUUGCUGAAAUCCUGAGAUCAUUGUUAUUCUGUUAUUUAUAUCACAGUUACACAUAUCAUAGUUAUAACUGUGACUCUUGCUAGCAACUUCCCUUCUAGGGCCUUCUUUUUUCUCUUGAGCACAUUUCAGAAUAUUUUGGCCGAACUAUCCCCAUCUCCUUGUAGGAAACCAUGUUCUAUUCUACAUUUUAAAUGCGCCCCAUGCAGCCUCUAUUUCGCUGUGGUAAACUGUAACGUUCCAGAUUAUUAAGACUGAAGUCACAGAUUUGUGUAUUUGUUUGUGUAUUCCAAUUUCCUUGUUUUACUUCCAGGAAGCCGUUGCCUAAACUUGUCCAAUAUUGUAUUUCUAGAUCUUUUAUUACUGAUCUACCUUUUCUUACUUACAAAGAUAUUCCUUUCUUUUUCUACCAAGAUCUUAAGAAUUCUAAAAAGAUGUGGGAAAAACAUAACAAAACCUUCUGGGGAUUCAGUGUAGACAGGAAUUUGAUUUAACAAAUAAAUGCAACUUUAAACAUGAUGAAUAAUGUGGGAAAAUAAAAAAAAGAUUAUUUUCUAUGAUAAAAUUUUGUCCCCCUCCCCUGCCAUGUAUAUGGAAGUGUUAUAAUAAAACAGAGAAAGUAAUCAUUUUUUUCUAAAUACUGUCAUCUUGUUAUUGCCAUUUUAAGUUGUGGGCUUGUCUGUAACACUGGCAAAUAGUCAUAAAAUAUGUUGGAUUAGAAAGAGAGUGACAAGAGCCAGUGAAAAGACCUUGGACGCAUCAAGGAGAGAAGCUUCUAAAAGCUCUGCUGUUUGCAAAAAUAGGCUUUUGUUAAAAUGGAAAUCUCCAGUCAUCUCUAACAUAAUUGAUUGGCAAAUACAAUGAGUGACCUAGCUGAACCAGAAAGAAUUUAUACAGUACCAACAACAAAAUCCUAGCCUUUUAGCCAAAUAUGUUUUCUUUUCAUUGAAAUAUGAUUGACUCAUAAUAAUGCUAAUUAUGCCUAAUUAUCAUCUCAAUUAUUUUACCCUAGCAAGAACAUUUCGUCAUUGUGGUGCUUAUUUGUUAUCUAAUAAUAAUUUAUAUUGUUUCCACUUUUUUCAAAAGAAAAGUUUCACUCAUUUAAACAUACUACUAUGGUUUGGUGAGAUAGAUAAUUAUUAUUAUACUGUAUUGGCUUUUAUUUGAUUGUUGACCUUUGAUGAAUUAGAAUAAACUUCUCUAACCUCUUCUAUAAUAAGUUCUACCAGGAGACUACUUUAAGUGGCAUAAUUAUAACUGGACCUCUGUGGGAAGGUCACUUGUGGCUUUACUGAUUAAUUGGGGGAAUUGAAUUACAUUAUCUUUUUGUGGGGCGAAUGCGGCCAAGGACUUAAUACAGAAGCAAUAAGAAAAAGUUUAGACUACUACUAUAGCCUCAGAGUUGUUUAAAAACAAAACAAAAAACUAAAAUUUACAGACCAUUAAAUGGGAGAAUUCCCUUUUAACAUUGCAAUCAUGUCUUCAGCUUGUCAGCCUUUGAACAUACCCAGAUUUGACGAAGUCAGUUCACCAAACAGCCCGCCUCUUCCAUCUGUGGACAGUCCUUCUCCACUUUGAACAGAAAUGCUGUAGCUCUUAGUUCUGCCUCUACCUCUUGGGGCCACACAGAAUGCAUCCAAAACCUCUUCUGCAUGACAGGCCUUCAAUUUUAAUAACGAUGCCUUGCAUUUGUAGAGAAUUUGCUAGUACAUUAUCACUUUUAAUCCUGUCAAUUGCCCUGUGAAAUAGGCAUCGUUAUCCUCCAUUUCACAGAACAUUUUCCUCACAGCCUGUACCUUUCUCCAAACCUGUCUUGCUCAACCUUCCCAUCUUGA